AGGACGAACGCUGGCGGCGUGCCUAACACAUGCAAGUCGAGCGAGGAGAUCCUCGGGAUGAUCCUAGCGGCGGACGGGUGAGUAACACGUGGGCAACCUGCCUCAUAGAGAGGAAUAGCCUUCCGAAAGGGAGAUUAAUACCUCAUAACAUUGCAGUUUCGCAUGGAACAGCAAUUAAAGGAGCAAUCCGCUAUGAGAUGGGCCCGCGGCGCAUUAGCUAGUUGGUGAGGUAACGGCUCACCAAGGCGACGAUGCGUAGCCGACCUGAGAGGGUGAUCGGCCACAUUGGGACUGAGACACGGCCCAGACUCCUACGGGAGGCAGCAGUGGGGAAUAUUGCACAAUGGGGGAAACCCUGAUGCAAGCAACGCCGCGUGAGUGAUGACGGCCUUCGGGUUGUAAAGCUCUGUCUUCAGGGACGAUAAUGACGGUACCUGAGGAGGAAGCCACGGCUAACUACGUGCCAGCCGCAGC
rnacentral:rRNA from 1 species